AUCCAUCUCCUAAUACUCCUGAGAGCAAAACACGCUUCCCCUUGCUCUCUGUCUCUUCCACCGCUUCCCCUCGCUGUCUUCCUCUUCCUUCCACCUCUCCUUCCUCAAUUCCUCCGCAUAAAAUAUCUCUUUACCCAACCUCUCCCACUCCCACUCCCAUUCUCACUUCGAUCUCAACUAGUUGUGAAGCCGCUUUGAAACAGUUGAAUCCCCCAACAUCUCUCUCUACAAAAACGCAGAUCAAGUGACCAAGUUAUGGAGUCGACUGAGAGCAACCGAUUGUGACGCCAUUGCCGACACCUUCGUCCUCGCUGGAUUGAUCGCUGACUUGUCUCUUCUCCUCCCUCACUCGAUAUGAGAUGAGAUUUAAUAUGAAAACUGGUCUGGCAUCACAGAAGAAACUAUGAGCAGAUGUUGUAGAUUUUCCAAAGGUGAAUGAGAGCUACACUGGAAGGAUUGGCAUGUGGCUAUUAUGACUCAGCCUAUUGUAAGCAUAUAGCAACAAAACCCACCUCAUUGAAAAAGAAGAAGAAGAAUUAGAAAGGAUAGAAGGCAUUAGAGGAGAAAGAGGAGGUCACCGGUUGGAAGAAAGAGGAAACCAUCAACUGCGGCUUCGAUCGCCGACUGCCACCAUCACUUCCGAUCAUCACUCUCGCCUCCAAACCUCUUCUCUACAAGUAUAUCUCUCAUCUCUCUUUCAGUUUCUGGAUUUAAUUUUUGUAUACAACAACAUAUCAGUAAUGUGCUGUUUGACAGAUUCGUAUAGCCUUGGAAUUCAUUUAGUUUUUCAUUCUUAAAGUUUGAAUUUGAUUUCAGUUCCUUCAUGACAUUCGAACUUCAUUCUGUUGCACAACUUUUGACACCAAAAUCACUCGAAAAUAUUAAGAGCUCGAUCUAUGGUGAUUUUUGGAAGUUGGGCUGUUUUGUAUUGUUCCUGUCUGAAAAUCAGUCACUUGUUUGGCUUCCCAUGAUGAAUCUACUUAGAAUUUCGGUCUCCAAUUAUUUUCUGGAAAUUUUAUUGUUAGUUAACUAUCAUUGAGCGCUAGUUUCACCCUUUUUGGAUCUCGAAUGAAUUAGUUAUGAUUUUUAUAUCAAGAGGUGUCGGUUUGGGACAUUGAUUGAUAUUGGUACCAAAUCUCAUGCUAUUGUAACAAUUUCCUCAUCAAUUGAUAAACUCAUGGAUGUUUUGUGGCUUGACCAAUACCUGUUUUCACCAUACAUCAAUUGGCUGAAUUUUCCUUGAUUGAAAGAGCCUGGUUUUCAAAAUCUUGACUUGUAAGUGGGCAGUCGGGUUCGAUAGCUAUAAUUAGGUCAUAGCUAGAGCUUAUCAAUACUAGUAAAUAAUUCCCUCCACUAAAUAAUUCCAUCUUCAAUUUAUCUUUCCUUAUAGAUAGGAGCAGCAGCAAUGGUACUUCACCUCAAACAAGAAAUUUGAAGUGCAAUCAAUUUGGUGAUAUAUAUGCAUUCUGAUCAAAUUUUGUUCUAUGAUUAU